rnacentral:lncRNA from 1 species
AUGCCUGUGGCCGUGGGUCCCUACAGGCAGUCCCAGCCCAGCUGCUUCGACUGCGUGAAGAUGGGCUUCGUCAUGGGUUGCGCCGUGGGUAUGGCGGCCGGGGUGCUGUUCCGCACCUUCUCCUGUCUCAGGAUCGGAAUGCGGGGUUGGGAGCUAAUGGGCAGCAUUGGGAAAACCAUGGUGCAGAGUAGCAGCACGUUUGGCACUUUCAUGGCCAUUGGAAUGGGCAUACGAUGC